UACGUAGGUCCCGAGCGUUGUCCGGAUUUAUUGGGCGUAAAGCGAGCGCAGGUGGUUUAUUAAGUCUGGUGUAAAAGGCAGUGGCUCAACCAUUGUAUGCAUUGGAAACUGGUAGACUUGAGUGCAGGAGAGGAAAGUGGAAUUCCAUGUGUAGCGGUGAAAUGCGUAGAUAUAUGGAGGAACACCGGUGGCGAAAGCGGCUCUCUGGCCUGUAACUGACACUGAGGCUCGAAAGCGUGGGGAGCAGACAGG
rnacentral:rRNA from 1 species